rnacentral:rRNA from 1 species
UCUCCUACGGGAGGCAGCAGUGGGGAAUUUUGGGCAAUGGGCGAAAGCCUGACCCAGCGACGCCGCGUUGGGGAUGAAGUCCUUCGGGGCGUAAACCCAUGUUGUAGGGGAAGAAGAAAGUGACGGUACCCUACGAGAAAGCCCCGGCCAACUACGUGCCAGCAGCCGCGGUAAAACGUAGGGGGCGAGCGUUGUCCGGAAUUACUGGGCGUAAAGGGCAUGCAGGCGGUGCGCCAAGUCGGGGGUGUAAAGUUACGGCUCAACCGUGACCUUGCAAUCGAAACUGGCGCACUGGAGUGCGGGAGAGGGAAGUGGAAUUCCCGGUGUAGCGGUGAAAUGCGUAGAUAUCGGGAGGAACGCCAGUGGCGAAGGCGGCUUCCUGGCCCGCGACUGACGCUCAUGUGCGAAAGCCAGGGGAGCGAACCGGAUUAGAUACCCGGGUAGUCCUGGCCGUAAACGAUGGGUGCUAGGUGUAGGCGCGUCAAGCGUCUGUGCCGAAGUUAACGCGAUAAGC